AAAGCUCUUCAAGACAGUAAUUUCCUCCAAAUCAUUACCAGUGAGAAUAAUAUUAUCAACAUAGACAGCCAACAAUACAAUAGAAGAGGCAGAUUUCAUAAGAAAAAGGGACCUCUUCAAGGAAGUAAUUUCCUCAAAAUCAUUACCAGUGAGAAUAAUAUCAUCAACAUAGACAGUCAACAACACAAUAAAAGAGGCAGAUUUCUUAAGAAAAAGGGAAUAAUCAUUGAAAGAAGAAGAAUAGCCCCUAGAACAUAAGGCUUGAGACAACUUGGCAUACCACUGCCUAGAAGCUUCUCUCAAACCAUAUAAGGAUUUCUUAAGAAGUCAAACCAAAGGAGAAGAAGAGGAAGCACAGUUGACUGUCAG
rnacentral:lncRNA from 1 species